UACGUAGGGUGCAAGCGUUGUCCGGAAUUAUUGGGCGUAAAGAGCUCGUAGGCGGUUUGUCGCGUCGAAUGUGAAAACCCGGGGCUCAACCCCGGGCCUGCAUUCGAUACGGGCAGACUAGAGUUCGGUAGGGGAGUCUGGAAUUCCUGGUGUAGCGGUGAAAUGCGCAGAUAUCAGGAGGAACACCGGUGGCGAAGGCGGGACUCUGGGCCGAUACUGACGCUGAGGAGCGAAAGCGUGGGGAUCAAACAGG
rnacentral:rRNA from 1 species